GGGUUAAGUCCCGCAACGAGCGCAACCCCUACGUUUAGUUGCUAACGCGUGAAGGCGAGCACUCUAGACGAACUGCCGUUGACAAACGGAGGAAGUGGGAUGAACGUCAAAUCAUCAUGCCCCUUAUGUUCUGGGCUACACACGUGCUACAAUGGCCGGUACAGACGGACGCAAAGCCGCGAGGUGGAGCAAAUCCUAAAAAGCCGGUCUCAGUUCGGAUUGCAGGCUGCAAUUCGCCUGCCAUGAAGUCGGAAUCGCUAGUAAUCGCAGGUCAGCAUACUGCGGUGAAUACGUUCCCGGGCCUU
rnacentral:rRNA from 1 species